rnacentral:rRNA from 1 species
AACGAACGCUGGCGGCAGGCUUAACACAUGCAAGUCGAGCGCCCCGCAAGGGAACCGGCAGACGGGUGAGUACCGCGUGGGAACGUACCUUUUGGUUCGGAACAACUCUGGGAAACUGGAGCUAAUACCGGAUAAGCCCUCACGGGGAAAGGUUUAUCGACGAACGAUCGGCUCGCGUCUGAUUAGCUAGUUGGUGAGGUAACGGCUCACCAAGGCGACGAUCAGUAGCUGGUCUGAGAGGAUGAUCAGCCACACUGGGACUGAGACACGGCCCAGACUCCUACGGGAGGCAGCAGUGGGGAAUAGUGGACAAUGGGCUCAAGCCUGAUCCAGCCAUGCCGCGUGAGUGAUGAAGGCCUUAGGGUUGUAAAGCUCUUUUGUCCGGGAAGAUAAUGACUGUACCGGAAGAAUAAGCCCCGGCUAACUUCGUG